GCCUAAUACAUGCAAGUCGAGCGAAUGGAUUAAGAGCUUGCUCUUAUGAAGUUAGCGGCGGACGGGUGAGUAACACGUGGGUAACCUGCCCAUAANACUGGGAUAACUCCGGGAAACCGGGGCUAAUACCGGAUAACAUUUUGAACCGCAUGGUUCGAAAUUGAAAGGCGGCUUCGGCUGUCACUUAUGGAUGGACCCGCGUCGCAUUAGCUAGUUGGUGAGGUAACGGCUCACCAAGGCAACGAUGCGUAGCCGACCUGACAGGGUGAUCGGCCACACUGGGACUGAGACACGGCCCAGACUCCUACGGGAGGCAGCAGUAGGGAAUCUUCCGCAAUGGACGAAAGUCUGACGGAGCAACGCCGCGUGAGUGAUGAAGGCUUUCGGGUCGUAAAACUCUGUUGUUAAGGAAGAACAAGUGCUAGUUGAAUAAGCUGGCACCUUGACGGUACCUAACCAGAAAGCCAC
rnacentral:rRNA from 1 species